rnacentral:rRNA from 1 species
GAGUUUGAUCCUGGCUCAGAUUGAACGCUGGCGGCAUGCCUUACACAUGCAAGUCGAACGGCAGCAUGAUCUAGCUUGCUAGAUUGAUGGCGAGUGGCGAGCGGGUGAGUAAUACAUCGGAACGUGCCCUGUAGUGGGGGAUAACUAGUCGAAAGAUUAGCUAAUACCGCAUACGACCUGAGGGUGAAAGUGGGGGACCGCAAGGCCUCAUGCUAUAGGAGCGGCCGAUGUCCGAUUAGCUAGUUGGUGGGGUAAAGGCCCACCAAGGCGACGAUCAGUAGCUGGUCUGAGAGGACGAUCAGCCACACUGGGACUGAGACACGGCCCAGACUCCUACGGGAGGCAGCAGUGGGGAAUUUUGGACAAUGGGCGAAAGCCUGAUCCAGCAAUGCCGCGUGUGUGAAGAAGGCCUCGGUGUAAG